AUGAGAACAGGCGCGCGAUUGGCUUCGUCGCUGCCCCACCGCACUGGUUGUUUCUUUCGUCCAGAAGAAAGAGAGAGGAAGGAGGUCGCCAGAUACGCCCGCCCCGCUCCAACCCUCUUCUCCUCCUCACGUACGACACCUCCUUUCUCCUCCCUCUCCCCUUCUCUCUCAGACCCACUGGCGGCGGAGACUGGAGGCAGAACACUGCACGCGCCGGCCGGCGAGGAGGAGCUGCGCUGUCGCCGGCGCACCAACUGCGUCUACUGCCUCGCCUCCCCGUUGACCUACAAGAAGGUAUAUUCCCACAUUGAACUGAAUUAUUGCUAUAUUCGGUUGAUUCAGACAUAUUGUAUCUUCAAUGGCUUUCACUGCUGGGCAAAAUCAAGCGAUGGAAGAUCCAUGGUACAUUGUGGUGUUAUCUGCUACUGA
rnacentral:rRNA from 1 species